CGAUGGCAAAUUUACGUAUAAAGUUCGU
rnacentral:piRNA from 1 species